GGCUGAGCAACACAGUAGGUUCUGCACACAAGUCAAUGGGGUGGACUCGAGCCUUACCGUUUGCUACACACACUAAACAUCAAAUUACACCAACUGUCUAUUUCGUGCCAACAUUUUUUUUUUUUCUGUUUUUAAUUCCCCAGUAGGUUUCAUUGUUUCAGACCAACGUCCAUAUUCACAAAUCAAUAAACAAUCCAGAACAUGCCACUUUAAAUUUUUACAGUAAGCACUACCAAAAAAAGGGUUGAGAUUUUCAAGAAAUAUUCACGAUGCAUAAUACACACACCCAAACAUCACUCCAUACAGAAGAAAAAACAUUGCAGUUAGAGAAUACCUCCAUUUUCGUUAAUACAAUUAGAGCAGUUUUCUCUUAAAUUAAUAAACACUGUUGGUAAAGUAAAACAAAACCAAUUUUAAAUUUUUUUUUUUUUUUUUUUUUUCCCCAACAAAAAUUGAUGACUACUGCUUGCAAAAUGAUCACACAAAUGUAAAAUCAAUCACCACUUUAAGCAGCCAAGGGGAGCCAUACGAGUGUACCCCAUUCAGCAGUUACAUUUUAAACCUAAAAAACAAAGACUAACGUAUAAAUCAUUAAAAAAAAAAAGUCAAUGGUGAUAGAGAAAAUUAACAGAUUUAAUAAACGAGGAUGACAUGUUCACAGUGUUUAUUGUAAGCCCCGAGAUUUGUUUAAUAUAUUACAUCACAAAAGGUCAUUCAGCGUAACAUGGACAAAAAGAAAAAACUACGCAAACAAACAUGUUCUUCGCAAGGGAAUUGUUGAAAUGUAAAUUAAUUACAUUCUUGCACCAUUAAAUUUCAGAAAAAUGCCCUAUAAUUGUACAAUAUUCAAAAUUGGCACACACAUAUAUAAAUUGGGUAUCUAUACAGUUUAUUUCUGUGACCUUCCUAGAAUAUGUCAAGACUUGGUAGAAGUAUUUUAGAGUUCAAGUAUUUGUAUUUGUAGAGUUACCACAACCCUUCUGAGUGCCAGAGAAUCAUUGUGUGUUCUAGGCAUCCUGACACUCUUAUGGGUAACAGAUCUGAUUUCUAAGAGACUCAAGAAAGAUUAAUUACUGACAACAAGUUGGUCAAAGUAGUUGUUGUCAAUGAAAGUGCAAUGUUUGUCAUGUGCUAAAAUAAAUCCUUUAACACCUUCAGAAUCCAACAUGAAAGGAUGAACAUACAAACUAUGUUAUGCUUUUUUUUUUUUUUUCUUCUUCUUCUUCUUGGCAAUACAUUCUUCAAUUUACAACUUUAAGCAAAUAACAAACCAAUAUCUGACAUACAUAUGGCCAGGUUUCACUGUUACCAUGACUGCAUCAUGUGUAUACACCUUUUUUCUGUAUCUAUUACUUUAAUUAUAGCAGCUAUAAGUAAUAUUUAAGAAGUUUAAAACACUGAAAAUUAACACUACUAAUAUUGGAUAUAUAUACUACAUACUGUCUUCUCACCCAAAUGGCUAGUUACUUCUGGCACUGGAAAAUCCCUGAUUUUGUUAUUUUACAAUUCCAUGGUUAUGAAAUUUAGCUGUUCCGUUUCUUUUAAUACUAAUUUUCUACAUGUUGUCAUCACAAAAUUGGUACACUAGGACACCCCUGACAUUGACCAUCAUUUGAAAUCAUCGACCCGUAACUGUUCUGAUCACUCAAUUUAAUAAACUAAUCCGAUACCACAUGUAUAUUGCGCUUGCUAAUGUUUAAACUUUUUAAAAAAAAUUUUUUAGGGUGUGAUAUAAAUUAGUUCCACCUUCUUUUGUCACUUAAGUCAUUGGCAUAGUGUGUGCGCUCACCUCUAUGCCAUGGUUUGAUUGACAGGAGAGCAGGACAGCAAUUUUACAAUCGCUCUACUUGUUGUGUUAUACUUAUAGCAUUUUAUUCCUGGGGUGGGAUAUAAGCCAUAGCAGAAGGCAGACAUGACAAUAGGCACUGAAAUGCAGGACAGCUGGGGAGUAUUUAAUUAACUUCUUAUUCAGCAUUAAAAUUACCAUAAAUUAUAUACUUAUUCGUAGGAUUAUUGAUAAUCUGGUUGUUUCAAUUUCUAAUCCAGAUUCCUGAACGGCAAAAUUUCUAAACAGAUGUAAGUGUUUCAAUUUAAUUUAUAUAUUUUUAUUUUUUCCUCUCUCUUUGUGCAUUUCUAUGGCAGUGCUAGGAAAUGCUAUGCACACCUGUUUCAGUAUCGGCGCUUCCAGUAGGCAAAUCAGACAUUUUCCUAGAUUGCCAGUUUUAAUUUCCUUGAAUCACCUCAACACUGUGAGGGAGAGUGUGGUCUGUAGCUCCAUGGGUACAGACCAGCUAGCUCCUUCAGGGUUCCGUCACUCAAUGUAUGACCUGGCAUAUAAUGUACUACAGCUAGGCACAAUGAGGCCUAGUGGAAGGCAAUCCACAGAUUUAUCUCUUGUGAUUCUCUGUUAGUCCAUAAAUGGCUAAGAAUUCUUGUGUCCUACACUGUUUUUGUUGCUAAAUGCAGCUUUGCAACCAGUGUCCAAAUCCAAUUGGUUUUCUGAUCAAUACAAAUUUAUUUUUCGGUUAAUUAUAUAUAUUUUUUCUUUUAAAUAUUAAUGCAUGUAUUGUGUGUGCAUGGAAACUGACUUGAGUUGUGUAAAUAAGGACUGAUGAGAUUACAUCAUAUAUUGGUUUGGAGUCUUGAUAUUAAUUAGAAUCUGUAAACCUCUGCAUUGUUUAAUGGUGUAUGUGGUGGGAGACAAACGUGGUGGAUGACCUCGUGUUCGGGAACUGAGAUUUCACGGGGAAGAAAAGAAAUUCAUGUAAUUAGUAAUGAAUCAUGAGGGUUUUAGUGGCUUAUACAAUGGCAACACUGCUUGAUAUAUAAAUGAUCUAAUCUCUUCUUAAACCCACGUAGUAUUUCUUUACUAGAAAUUCUAGGUGUGUGUGUGAGAAUAUAUGGCCCUAUCAAGUUCUAAGUGUCCCUAAGUCUUGCUGGAGCCCCUCGGUGUUGGUGGAGAUUCUUAGCAUAACCUUUUUUAAAUGCAUAGUAAAGAGUCAUUAUUGUGUAAGCAUUAAUAACUUGCAAGAGUUUAGGGGUCUGUCCUCCUAAUAAUACAAAAAAAAUCCAACAGAGAUGCUUUGGACAGGGGAGUACAUAUUGUUCCAACUGGCUGGUUAUGAAAAUGUUCCAAUUACCACUUGAUGUGCUAAAAGUACCGAUUAGACGGGUUUCUUUUGAUUUGACUGGCACCAAUACAGUAGAGGUACCUCAUCAAACUUUUGAGACUGCAUAAUGGUACAUUACGUGGAAAGGAUGGCAUGAGAACAGAUUUGAUUCAUUUUGUGUAUAUUAUCUUAUUUUUUUUUAAUUUUAUUUUUUUACAUUUUCUAAACUCUCAAAAAUUGAGAUUUUUAGAGAGCUGGCAAGUGUACAUACGUGUAUUUACUUUUCAAUUUCAAUGCACCUGAACAAAACCAGCUGUAGUCCUUUAUUAUGACACUGUUACAAUGUAAUCUAAUCCAGCAAUGUUCCCAUUGUUUCCACAACAAUAUUGCUGUCCUUACAUCCUCAUCUUGACAAUGAGAUUAUCUCCAAGUUUCCAAAUCUUUUUCUUGCUGUCACUGAUAGUAUUGAGCAAAACAGCUGUCCUUGGCCUGUUUCCGAGCCAAACACUACUCUCCGAGCUAUGACUACGCUAUACAAAGACAUGUUUACCACCAAAUAUUGCAAAAAUAAUAAAUACAUUUUGGAUUGGUCCCUGCUCUUGUUUACACCACAGAGGAAAAAAUACACAAAUAAAAUAUCAAAUGUGAGGCCACCCAUGCAGAAUUAAACUGCUUAUCUUUUUCCAAAUGUAGUUAAAAAUGAAACCUCAGUAGUGUUCUGACAUCGAGGGCCAUGAACCUACUGGUGUGUUAAGAGUUAAUAUGUUAAAAUGUAAGUAGCCAGGUAAUAUUGUGUGAUAAUGUGUUUUUUUUUUCUUUUCAGGGCCAGUGUUUCAUGUAGGCCAAUUAUGCAGUCACCUAGGAUGUUCUUAAGGGGUGCGUGCAACAACUGUACUUCUCAUUUGCCUCACUCUCCUCAAGUGGAACAAUACAUGCUGCAACUUGAGCCAUGAUGUAAACAACAUUGGUGGGUCAUGGCACUGGGUGCCAGCCCAACCACAAAGGUCAAAUAUAUUGACUGGUAGCUUACAACUAGGCACUCGCAGACAUCUAGCAAUUAAGGUGGCAAUGCAAGGGCGCAUUGUACGCUUGCUCCCACCCUCUGACUUGUGCAUGGGGACAUGUGUGCGGUAAGUGGGGCUGGGCAACAGGGACGGGAAGAGAGAUGUUCCACCAGAUGCUUGAGACUCCUGGGCAGUCAGCUAAAGGUUAGCAGUCACUGCGAGGGCUCCCAUGGUAGAGAAUACAUGCACUAUCACUACUCGCCCCUACCUUGUGCGUAGUAGCAAACAGAGAGCUUGUUCUACCACCACCGUGUAGCGGAGGAACCAGACUACAAAGUUUAACAUCUUCCUGUCAUCUGGGGGUUAAGUAGGCACUCAAGUCUAGUGGCACUAAUCACGAAUAUUUCGCUAACCUACCUCACAGUAGGCCACUCCCUUUCUCCACCACAUCAGUCGGAAAGCUCAGGCAGAAAUCUGCUGGCUCUCUGGUUGAUGUAGUGGACAACGGGAGCAACUCCCGGUGGACGCAAGGUAAAAAGUCAAACUAUUCUAACAUGAUUUGGCUGCUUACACUGUGAAGAGGGAGGGGCACCCCACAUGCAGUGUUUAUAGUGCUAGGAAUGCUACAUUGAACUGUGAAAUUUAAGAGAGCUAUUCAUGAAAGUGAGAAUUGCCAUACUGUAAGUUGUAUGAUGCCAUCUGUGCAUUCUGCUUUGUAAUGUAAUGGUGCAGUGUAGGGGCCUCUCAGGGCUGGGCUGGAGCAUGGGACUAGUAAGAGUCACUUCCCAGGCAGCAACUCUUAUUUUCAGCUGACAUCAUUAACACAGUUCCUCUUCUGAAAGUAACAUGCUAGACAAACUGUGUGAUUCUAUCUGCAGGUCCCCAAUGGCAUUAUUUUCUUUGAAACAUUUUACAAUUUUACAAUUGUGUAUCACAGGUAUCUCUUUGCCCCCCACCCCCCAAAUAUGCAACAGAACUAUAACUCCAAUGAUUCUUAGGUCAUCUAUUGCAUUCACAGAAUUAGGGAUCUGUAAGUCAUUAACAUCCUGGGGGUCAGAGUUUGAGAACCCUGGUGUAUCAGAAAAACGUUUCUAUAUGCCUUGAACAUAGAAAUGUCAUCAGGUCAUGAAAUGGAGCACUAAAAAAGGCAACAAUUUUUGAGAGAAUGCAAUUACAUUUGGCCUAUUUUAAAAACCGUUUAAUGAAGGCAAAACACAACUAAUUUAAAAAAAAUUAGAUGUGUUUCUUUUUUAGAAUACUGGACCCUAAUUGAGACAGAACGCUCACCUCCGAAGGUCAAUCAAAUGUUUCUCGUAGAGAAGCAACGAGGACACUUGCCAUGUUCUCAGCAGUCUAUGCAAUCUGCCAAUCCAAUGCCUCUUAUAGAGAAGCAUAGGUCACACUGCUUUUUCAUUGGAAUACUUUGCAUGUUGAAGAUAUAACUGAAUCAGCUAGGAUUGAAUGAGGAAACUGUAAAAUGUAAACUAUGCCAUUUCUGAUAAACCACAAUGUUCUACUGUAGAGGCAGCAACUUCAUUAAAGCGACACAAACGGCAUCCAGGUCACUUCGUCCCAAGAAAGUGCUCUCUAUGCAGUGGCCCUGUAGUUUUGACACUGCAAUGUUAAACAUUGUAGUGUUUUACAUGGAGGGUUAACACACCACUAGUGUGUGCCUUCCUGAUAGCCACUAAAAAUACUCCCCCUGAAAUAGUAGAUUUAGACUUGAUUAUUAAAUCAAAUGCUUCUUUUUUAUUUGCACAAGCCUAACAAUGCUUCCCUAUGGAUUGGCUAUAAUUUUCAAGAAUGAUCUUAAUUGAUAGGGCACCUGGGGGGAGCGAGGAUGGCAGCCACCUAUGUAGGUAUGUUAACACUACAGUGUUAGGAAAACAUGCUUGUAUUUCUAACACUAUUAGAGUUCCUUUAAUAUGAAUUGAUUUUUAUUCAAAUAAGACAAUGAUAUCAUUCUAGAUCAGAGUGUAAAACUGGACUCUCUAAUGCAGCAAUCCUGCCAAAGUUUACAGAUAAAUUCAAAGUAUAAUCAAACAUUUUAAGAUUGUACAUUACUGAGCAAUAUGCUAAAGAUUAUUCUGUGAAUCUGAUAUGUCUAUGGCCCUCAAGGACUGGAGACAAUCCUCUUCUCUAAUCCUAGGAUGUGUUUCAAGCAACAUUAUGUCCAAAAAAAAUUUGGAAGAGGAAACCCCCCCCAUAAUCUAAUUGUAUUUGUGUUUGUUGCGAUUUUAUUUUAAUAUAAAACAAAUGCUGGAGAACUCUCAAGAUUCAUUAAAUAAGUUUUGUUGUGUUUUGUUGUUUUUUUUUUUUUUUGUAUUUAUUUUUGUAUUUUUUUCUGCUGCAGAUUUCAUUAACUUAGAAAUAGACUUUUUGGAAACUAUGUAUAGAACAAGUGUUACACGGACACACGCAAACUGGUCCAAAUUUAGGACCAUAUCAAACCAGAAGCAAAGCUAAUUUUGAUAAUUCCAGUUUUGGCUAUUUUUACCUGGAAUUUGAAAUUCACUUUGAAUUCUCACAGUGAAUAGCCCAGUAAAUCUCUUAGAACUUUGUACAUAAGUUUUAAGGUUACCAUUUAAAGAUGCAUAUCCGAGUAAUGCUAAUUAGAUGCUUAUGGCUUGUACAAAUGUUUUUAGAUGAAUAAUAGUGAGUGAAACUUCUUUAUUAUAUCAUCUCAAGCAGAGGCUGUGGGCUUUGGGGGCUGAGAAUCCAUCAUUUAUUUAAUUUUUUUCUCCAUUUCACCAAUAGCUUCCUCGCACAGUAACCACUACAAUAAGCUGCAGUUAUUAUGGUGCUUGGAGAUUUCCUUUCACAUAAUUGUAUGUUUUGUUUUUAUUCUUCUUAAUAUACAGGUUUUGGUGGUGGUGAAGAAUAAUAUGGAAAUCUCUACAUCAUGGCUGCUAAUCAUGGUAACUGGUUGCCCAUCAAAUAUUAUACACAUCAUUAUUAUUUAUUUUAUUAUUUAUAUAGCGCCAUCAGAUUCCGUAGCACUGUACAAUGGGUGGAGUCCCUCCGAUCUGUCCUUAUUUGGGAAAGACCAUAUCUAUUUUGGGCCAAAUCCCUCUGUUCCUCUUUUUAAGAGCUCCACAGCAAUAAUACUCACAGUAAUGUGUCCUUAAAUUACAAUAAAUGUGUUUAGAAACCAGUCUGUGUAAAUAAGAUACAGAAACCGGAGUAAUCUGAACGUACCUUUCCUGGUUAAAAACUUUUCUGUUUAUUUGUUCUUACUAAAAUUACAUAAAUAAAUUAUUAGUAAGUCACCUUAACUUUUUCAGAACAGCCCGCUUCUGGCCACACACCCAAAACUAAAGUGCCCCUCUUUGUCCAUUUGAAAUGUUAGGAGGUAUGUAUACAUAUUGGCAUACUUUAUCCCCUAUCUCCCUGUAGAACAGUAAUUUACAUCACUUUGUCAGUGCUACCCAGGGCCGGACUGGGAAAAAAAAUUAGGCCCGGGCAUUUUUCAAUUAGAGUGGCCCCCCAAGAAGGGGGCGGGGCCAGAGAGGGUGUGUUUUGUCAUCACUAAUGACAAGUACGCCCCUUCUGAAAGUGAGCAUGUUGGUUCAAUGCGCAGAGCCCCGCUGAAGAGCUCUAGCAUUAGAAAAAGGCCCUGUAUUUGUUCUGCGCAGCGCAAGCAAAUGUAAUAACAUGCUUGCGCUGUGUUUGCUUUUAAAUUGUCUCUGGUGUCUCCACAAGUGGGAUACCAGAGGACAAAAGGGCCAGGAAAGUGUAUGGUGCAUGUGUUUGGCGCAUGCUUGUGGGAUUGCCUGUGUGUAAAGUGUGGUGUGGUAUUGUGUAAAUAGGUAAAUUUUGUGGUGUAAUAUGUGUGGCUAGGGGCUGUAGAGAGUGCGUGUAUAUGGGCAUAGUGUUAUAGGGGAUGUAGCGAGUGUGUACAUACGGGCAGUAGUGUGUGUGUAUAGGUGAUGUAGUGUGUGUAGGGGUUGUAGAGAGGGUGUGUUUAGAGAAUGUUGUAUGUGUUUGCUUACAAGGAAUGUAAUGUGUGUGUAGGUGGUGCAGUGUGUGUGUGUGUGUGUGUGUGUGUGUGUAAGAGAGCUAGUGUGUAAAGGACCCAGAGUGUGUAUAGAAGAGUGUGUGUGUGUGUGUGUGUGUGUGUGUAUAGAGGAUUAAGAGUGCAUAUAGGGUAAGGGAUCUAGCUUGUAUCUGGAGCGUAAUGUGUGUAGUGGUGCAGUGUGAGGGG